CUCCACUCUGACUGUGCCCCUGUGAAAUGGCUCCUUCAGCAGAGGCUGACGGCUCCCUUGAGGUUUCAGGGAAGGUGACCCAGGACCCCAAGAACAUUCUUCCUGGACAUCAUCCUGUGUCAUCCCUCUUCCCACAUGCUCCAUAGAAGAACAGGUCUCUGCUAGCAGCAAAAGAACAAUAACCUGGAGAAGAAAGUGAUACCUUUCUCCAGAAAGGGAACUGAGCUUCUGCAUAUUCUCACCCAGCUCCAUGAGGACAGCACUGAAAUCUGCACAAGUGGACUCUGAAGUUAUCAGUGCACACAUGAACCAGUCUGGCAAGGGGACAGAAUCCACCUGUCAGACCCCACUUUCUGCAUAUUUCUUUUGCCCUUUCUCCAUUAUUUUUUGCCAUACUUCCUACUAUCUCCUGAUGUGACUGUUAUGUGUGUACUUUUUUCCUAUCUGACUAUAAAUUACUCAAGGCAACUUACCAGCCCCAUUGUUCCUCCAGGGCUUAGCACAGUGCUGGUCACAUGGGGUCAAUUUGUUUGUGUGUUGAGAAAAUGAAGUUGCUCAGAGCUUCACCAGGAUGGAGAUGAGGUCCCACAAUAUUCCCAUUGGGUUGCUAUCAGCCACAAGGUUGUUCCACAAUGAAAAGUUCCAUUAACCUUUAAAAGUUUAAAACUUGCAGAGUCUUUGCAACUUAUUUAAUUUUUGAAAAGAAUCCCCCAAAUCAGGGAAGACAUUAUUAUUAUUCUUCCUUGAAAAAAAUGAUAAAACUCAUCUAGAGAAGAAAAGACUUGUAUAUGGUAACACAAAUAUUUAUAGGCUUGAUCAGGCCCUAUUUAACUUCAAUUAAGCUUUCUUAUUGGGGCAUCUUACUUUCUACAGCUUACACUAUGAAAUUUACUACAUAACUUUGGGGAAAAGAUCAUUUCACAAUUAAAUUAGGAUUUGGGCUGUUUGAAGCCUUAAUGGUCCUGAGAUGCUAUGAUGCUCAAGGGCAAGAUUACAUCAGCUGAAGACAUCCUGAGUCUUUGAGAGCCAAGUAGAAAGGUUUCAUCUGGGAAGGGACAAAUUCCUUAUCAGCUAAACUCAUCCCCCUUACUGUUGUAAGAACAUUUUGCUCAUUUCAUAGUCCUAAUCAAUUUAAGCUUCUCAUUGACCUAAGAUCCUCAUCAGCAUGAGAUCCUCAGAGUCAUAGGAUUAUUGCCAUCCUUUGAGACAUCUGAUACUUCCUUUGAUUAUAAGAUCCUUAUCAAUUUAGGAUUAUCACUGCCCUCCGAGUCAUCCGAUACUCCCUAGGUACCCAAUAAAUAGUGGCAAGCUCGGGGUGCUUUUGUCUUUGCUGCCCAGAGCAGCACUGAUCAGGCCCAAAGCUCAGCUUCUUCUCUAAGUCUCAUUUCCUGUCUUUAUUCUUUAAUUUGUGUUGUAGUGGCUCAUAGGAGAUCAGUCCUCACUGCAGGGGUUUUGUUAUGUUUCCUUUCCCAUUCCUUACAGUCUGGGCAAUGAUUUUUUGGGACAUGAUCCUUCAAGUACAGGCAAAAAAACCUAAAACCAUACAAAUGAGAUUGUAUCAAAGCUUCUGAACAAAAAAAAUCAAAGAGGUGAAGAGAUCCUAUAGGAUGGAGGAAAUACUUGCAAAUAAUAUUUCCCCCUUGGUUCACCAACCUACAUUUGAUAAGGGGCUAAUAUAUAAGACAUAUAAGGAUCUUGAAUAACUCAAUAGGAAAAUAUGACUUUAAAAUGGGUAAAAGAUCUAACCAGACAUUUCUCAAAAGAGUGCAUGCAAAUGGACAGCAGGUGUAUGAAAAAAUGCACACCACUAAUCAGAGAAGUGCAAAUCAAAGCCACAAUUAAAGCCACAAUCAUCUCACCCCUGUUUGAAAGAUUGCACGUGUUGAUGAAGAUACAGAGAAAAGGAACACUUGUAUACUGUUGUUAUGAUGUAAAUCCAUAGAGCCACCAUGGUAAACAACAUGGAGAAUCUUCAAGAAAUAAAAAGUAGAGCUACCAUAUUAUCCAGAAGUCCCACCAUAGAAUAUAUAUACAAAGGAAAUAAAAUCAGUUUAUGAAAGAGAUAGCUGCAUGCCUGUAUUCAUUACAGUGUUAUCCACAAUAGCCAAGAUAUGGAAUCAAAGUAUCUAUCACUGGAUGAAUGGAUAAAGAAAAUGUGGUAUACACACAUAACAGAAUACUUUCAGCCUUAAUAAAGAAAGAAAUCUUGUCAUUUAUGACAACAUGGAAGGACUUACAGGGCAUUUUGUAAAUGAAAUAAGACAAAAACAGAAAGGCAAAUACCACAUGAUCUCACUGAUAUGUGGAACCUCAAAAAGUCAAACUCAGAAGUAGAAUGAUGCUGAGGGCUGAGGGCUGGGAAGAAAUUGAAGAGGUAUUGGUCAAAGGUUACCAAAUUUCAGUUCAGGGGAACAAGUCUAAGAGAUUUAUCAUGAAACAUGGAGACUAUAGCUAAUAACAAUGUACUGCACUCUUGAAAGUUGUUA